rnacentral:lncRNA from 1 species
GAAAGUUGUUCCCAUUACAAAGCAUUUUUUCACAUAGGCUCACUUUUAUUUUCUAAGGACUUGGAGAUUAAAGAGCCAGCAGCACUGGAACAGGAAGCUCACUGUACGUCCAAAGGAAAAAAAAGAACAUGUAAGAUUCGACUGACACAGCCAGCUGAAGUGUGAAAAUGAGAGUCUGCAAGGCCAGAGAGGCAGAACCUAUGUGGUACACCAAGACUAACUUGAGACAAAGGUGUCUGGCAGCCACUGAAAGCCACAGCAGAGUACUUCAGCAAAAACCCAAACAGGAUGAUCUUGGCCCUCAAGGCUUGUCACAAAUAAGUAAUUGCUAAUACUAAUUAUAACUAAU